rnacentral:rRNA from 1 species
AUUGAACGCUGGCGGCAGGCUUAACACAUGCAAGUCGAGCGGGGGAAGGUAGCUUGCUACCGGACCUAGCGGCGGACGGGUGAGUAAUGCUUAGGAAUCUGCCUAUUAGUGGGGGACAACAUCUCGAAAGGGAUGCUAAUACCGCAUACGUCCUACGGGAGAAAGCAGGGGAUCUUCGGACCUUGCGCUAAUAGAUGAGCCUAAGUCGGAUUAGCUAGUUGGUGGGGUAAAGGCCUACCAAGGCGACGAUCUGUAGCGGGUCUGAGAGGAUGAUCCGCCACACUGGGACUGAGACACGGCCCAGACUCCUACGGGAGGCAGCAGUGGGGGAUAUUGGACAAUGGGGGGAACCCUGAUCCAGCCAUGCCGCGUGUGUGAAGAAGGCCUUAUGGUUGUAAAGCACUUUAAGCGAGGAGGAGGCUACUUUAGUUAAUACCUAGAGAUAGUGGACGUUACUCGCAGAAUAAGCACCGGCUAACUCUGUGCCAGCAGCCGCGGUAAUACAGAGGGUGCGAGCGUUAAUCGGAUUUACUGGGCGUAAAGCGUGCGUAGGCGGCUUAUUAAGUCGGAUGUGAAAUCCCCGAGCUUAACUUGGGAAUUGCAUUCGAUACUGGUGAGCUAGAGUAUGGGAGAGGAUGGUAGAAUUCCAGGUGUAGCGGUGAAAUGCGUAGAGAUCUGGAGGAAUACCGAUGGCGAAAGCAGCCAUCUGGCCUAAUACUGACGCUGAGGUACGAAAGCAUGGGGAG